rnacentral:lncRNA from 1 species
UUUUUUUUUUUUUUUUUUUUCUUUUUUUGGUCUUUUUUUUUUAUUAUUAUUGUUAUUCCCAUGCUCUUAAUUUUGGAAAAAAAAUAAUAAUAAUAAAAUCACAAAACAUAACUUAUAAAACAAUAUAUAUACCGCAUCCGUAUCCACAACAGCAUAACUGAAACAUCCAGCGUAACGUUACCACAGGUGUGAAAUACACUGGGAAAGAAGUACCGUGUGCAUUUUAUAUUACGUUCCUUUGUCAUCUACAGGUAAUAAGUACCGACAAAAAAGAAGCAACAAAUAUGCCUGCAAUUAAACUUCAUAUGCGUUUGGUAUGCGUAUUAAUAAAGAUCAUAUUUAUCAUUUCCCUUUUUUUUUUUCUUUUAUUUUUUCGCCAACAAGCACUCGGUAAAGUUAUCUACAUUUUACAUAAGAACUCCUUAAGAUAAGAACACCUUAAGAUUUCUCUUUUGGUUUUUGGUUCCUUGGUUUUCCUUCACGGUUAGAAAAGCGAGGAACGCUUUCGGCUUUGCCAUGCAACCCUUCCGGACUCCGAAGCUCACUGUUCUCAAGCAGAGAUGCAAGGAAAAAAAAAUAAGAAGAAUCCAACCCUGCGUUUAAAUAAAGACGGGUGAUAAUUUCAUUAUCAGGAUAAGACUUUGGGUGGGAAAAACGCUGGAGAAUUUUCGCAUCGCUGGAGGGUGUCUGCGCUCUCACGACCGGGGAUACUGCAGUCGUUUGGAAAGGACGAAGAGGUAGGAACCUGGAGCUGCUUAGGAUCGGGAAUGACUGGAUUAUAGCUUCCAACUAAAGAAAAAAACAUCAAGAAUCAUGCAUUUUAAAAACAGUUUAUUCAACGGCCAAGGACAAUGAUCCGGCACAAUGUAACGGCAGAUAUAAAUAUAACCUUAUAUAAGUGGUUGACCCUUGUCAUUAUUAUUUUUAAUAGCUUCAUACCUAAUAUUUUAACCAUUUCCCCCCGCAGAACCGACUCUGCGAAUUAUAUUUUUUUUCUCCCCUCCCUUUUUCUUUCAUUUUUUUAAAAUUUAUUUUCUAAAUCUUUUUUUUUUAAUUCUUUUUUUCUUUUUUUUUUUCCUUC